GAAAGGUUGUGGAUAACUUGCACAAGAAUGCUACUCCCAGGAUAAAAUAGAAGCACAUUAACACAUGAUGGUGCCACUCCUUUAAGUGUAUACUACAGACUAAACAAAAAAUCACAGAAAAAGAUAAAAAAACAUCCUGCACAAUAUGAUAA